rnacentral:rRNA from 1 species
AUUGAACGCUGGCGGCAGGCCUAACACAUGCAAGUCGAGCGGAUGAAGGGAGCUUGCUCCUGGAUUCAGCGGCGGACGGGUGAGUAAUGCCUAGGAAUCUGCCUGGUAGUGGGGGACAACGUUUCGAAAGGAACGCUAAUACCGCAUACGUCCUACGGGAGAAAGCAGGGGACCUUCGGGCCUUGCGCUAUCAAAUGAGCCUAGGUCGGAUUAGCUAGUUGGUGAGGUAAUGGCUCACCAAGGCGACGAUCCGUAACUGGUCUGAGAGGAUGAUCAGUCACACUGGAACUGGGACACGGUCCAGACUCCUACGGGAGGCAGCAGUGGGGAAUAUUGGACAAUGGGCGAAAGCCUGAUCCAGCCAUGCCGCGUGUGUGAAGAAGGUCUUCGGAUUGUAAAGCACUUUAAGUUGGGAGGAAGGGUUGUAGAUUAAUACUCUGCAAUUUUGACGUUACCGACAGAAUAAGCACCGGCUAACUCUGUGCCAGCAGCCGCCGUAAUAC